UAUUUAGAUUGAAGAUAUAUUUGGACCUGAAAACGGAUAUGCUACGAAAACUACAGAAAUACCAAUCCCUGAUCAGAUGAGUUUCUGUUUGCGGAGCUUUGCUGAGUUUGAUAGAUAUAGCGAUCAAAUCCCUAUCAUAGAGUUCUAUCGAUUGAAUGACACUCAGGAUCUGUGGAUAUCUCUCAUGUAUCGUUCUGAUGGUGUGUCUGGUGGACGAAUCUUUAUUAACGCAUAUUACACAGGCCGUUUAAAGGCAAAAUUU